UGCCCCGUGGCUGAGUUGGUUACAGCGUCCGACUGUUACUACAUCAAUGCAGGACCUGCCUCGUGAGGUGGGUUGAGUCGUGAAGUUCCAUCGGAAGGUCGUGAGUUCGAGCCUCACCGGGGCAG